CUUUUGUGGGGUGCUCGAGUGGCGAACGGGUGAGUAACACGUGAGUAACCUGCCCUUGACUUUGGGAUAACUUCAGGAAACUGGGGCUAAUACCGGAUAGGAGCUCCUGCUGCAUGGUGGGGUUGGAAAGUUUCGGCGGUUGGGAUGGACUCGCGGCUUAUCAGCUUGUUGGUGGGGUAGUGGCUUACCAAGGCUUUGACGGGUAGCCGGCCUGAGAGGGUGACCGGCCACAUUGGGACUGAGAUACGGCCCAG
rnacentral:rRNA from 1 species